UGGUAAAAGCAUAAAUUGGCCGGCGGCUAGGGUUUCUGACCCUGCGACGGCCGUGAUAUCAUUUCGAAGUGUUUCCUGGAGGAUGUUUUGAGGCAAAUCUUUCGUCUCCGAUGUGAUAAUUUGAGGACUGACCAAAGUGGGACGUGUUAAGCGCAUAACUGAGCCAGAAGGUGCUCCGUUGGCUCCAAAACGUUCAUUCUGCAGACGAGGACGAACAAACACAAUAAUUUUCACACCGUAUUGUUUACUAAUCACUGAACAGCUGUCACUGCAACCUAGCCAGCUUUCCAGAAUAAAAUGCAGAACUCCAAAGUCAUUUGCCUCGAUUCGCUGUGUAAACUCGUCAUGUGCAUACUACAAUAAAGAUGCAAUUUGAUAGGACAUCUACACAAGAUUAUUUUGUAUAAAC
rnacentral:lncRNA from 1 species